UCUACCCUUACUUGCCUGAACUUUAUGCCAGGUGUGGGAAAUUGGGGCCAGUCUCUCUGUAUUCACCUGUCUUCAAAACUGCUUGGCUUCUUCCAGAGGAAUAGAACCGAUAAUCCAUUCAAGCACAGAACACUCAUGAAGUGGCUCACCAUGAGUCCAAACCCGACUCUGUCCUGGACAGCUCUUACUUAAAGGACAAGUUUUGGGAGGACACACCAAUUUUAUUUAUAAAAGUGUCAUCCCGAAGAGACUUGGCCAAAGUGGACCCCUCAAAAUCCUUCUGCCAAGGGUCUUACAAUGGCAUAGUUUAGGGGUUAAGAUGAGGAUGCUAGAGUGAGACUGCUGGAGUUCAGGUAGCUUUACCACUUAUUGGCUUUGUGGCCUUGGGCCGAUUACUUAAACUCUUUGGGCCUUUGUUUUCUCCUUUGUGAAACUGGGCAAUAAUAGUUAUACCUACUGUAUGGGGUUUUCGUGUAAAGGAAUUGAGUUAAUAUUUAUACAAUGCCUAGAAUGGUGCCUGGGUAUAUAGUAAGAGCUACUCAGUGUUAGUUACUAUUACUAUUGUUGUUGUUAUUUAUCAUCAGGUCCAUAACUGACCCACAUUCCUUGAGCUUACAAUAGAUCUCCAGGAGAUGACCACUACGCAUGAGGACAUAUUUAUCAACAUGCCUUGCCCAGGUAUAAACCUGUAUACCCCUUAUAGGAAGCAAUCUGGACAAAGCUAAAUGUGACAAGUGAAAUUAUCUCGUUCCCACUUCAAAUGCAUAAUUAUCACCCUGCCUUCUUGGCAGUUUUAAAAAUGAGACUAAGCUCGGUAACUUGAGUUCUCAAGGCUUCAUAAUAUAUAUAUUCCCUGAAUGAAAAAAAAAUACACGUUUAUUGGAAACCCAUUGUAUGUCAGUUACCAGGGAUUCAAAGACAUUUAAGCCACUGUUUGUUCCCUGCAAGGUCUUACAAUCUAGUAGAGAGAGGCGGAUAAUGUAUGAUUCCCAUGCUGUACACUAAAUGCCGUUUUCUUAGGGAAUUUGCAUUGGCUCCAUUCAUGGUUUUUUCAGGUCUGUCCAUCAGAGCAAGGUCUUGGCAAAUUAGUGAAGUAGGCACAGUUUGUUUUUGGCUCCUCUCUCCCCUUAAGACAUUCCCUUUCCCUCCUCCGGGAAGUCCCAGUUCUAGGAUUGAAAACAUGAUUAUAAUCUCUGCUGACAUGUUUUUGCUAAUAAUAUAAGGAUUUGCCCCUCCUGAGGGUAAGUGCAUUUUUGUAAGGAGGUCUUGAACCUAAAACAUCAUUCUAGAGCUAAAGGAAUGAAUUUAUACAGAAAGAAUUUCAGGUUACAGCUUAGCUGGGGGAAAUGAAGCCUUAAGUACUGGUUAAUUUUUAUUCUUUAAUUAUAAUUGUUUUUACACUAUGCCUAUCUUUAUUUUAUUGCCCAUGCUUUUUUAUGAGUGGGUUUCCUCAAGUGUUCAAGUAUAGACAAAGAAUAAGCAGUAAAGCUUUUCAUUUCUACUUGCAUUUUUACUACUUAUAUUAUUGGGCAAGAGUUUGAAACACUCAGCCUUCAACCUAUUUUGCCCCAUUCUGACAGUAGGUUUCAGGCCUCCUUUUCACCAAACUCAAUUAUUAUGCUUGAUAUUCACCAUAGAACUUCUACUUCUUCUGUUAAAUUAAAACAUGCAAACCUUUAAUGGGAAAGGGCAUAUUUUAUUCGUUAAUGAAAAAACAUGUUUUUAUCACAAUGCUUUCUAUUCAAAGGUUGUGUUGUAGCAUUUGUUGUGCAUGUUUUUGUCCUGAAUAAGAGCAGCAGGUUCUAACAGGCUAGCCCAUUAUUAGAAUUUAUUUCUUUUCAUGAAUAACAAGUUCAUUAUUUUAGAAGUUUAAUCCUUUUCUCUAAAAGGGGCAUACUAUCUCUUUAGAAAUUAAUCAGUUUUUGCCUUCACAUUUGGUCUUCAAUUGCUGUAUAGCAUUGUUUCACUCUCUAAAUUAUGUGUCAUAGCUAUAGAGGUCCAUGAAUUGCUGCAGCUGUCGUUAAGGGGGCAUUUUUCUAUGGUCCAUAGAAUAAGCACUGUUUGUAUCCUCUUUUCACAAACAUUUUUUUAAAGUUCCCAUGAUGGUCUAAGAGAAUAUUCAUUUUCAAUUGGAAUUAAAAUUUGCAUGGUAACAAAUUGAAA
rnacentral:lncRNA from 10 species